rnacentral:rRNA from 1 species
GUGCCAGCCGCCGCGGUAAAACCAGCACCUCAAGUGGUCAGGAUGAUUAUUGGGCCUAAAGCAUCCGUAGCCUGUUCUGUAAGUUUUCGGUUAAAUCUGUACGCUCAACGUACAGGCUGCCGGGAAUACUGCAGAACUAGGGAGUGGGAGAGGUAGACGGUACUCGGGAGGAAGUGGUAAAAUGCUUUGAUCUCUCGAUGACCACCUGUGGCGAAGGCGGUCUACCAGAACACGUCCGACGGUGAGGGAUGAAAGCUGGGGGAGCAAACCGGAUUAGAUACCCGGGUAGUCCCAGCUGUAAACUAUGCAAACUCAGUGAUGCAUUGGCUUGUGGCCAAUGCAGUGUUGCAGGGAAGCCGUUAAGUUUGCCGCCUGGGAAGUACGUACGCAAGUAUGAAACUUAAAGGAAUUGGCGGGGGAGCACCACAAGGGGUGAAGCCUGCGGUUCAAUUGGAGUCAACGCCAGAAAUCUUACCCGGAGAGACAGCAGAAUGAAGGUCAAGCUGAAGACUUUACCAGACAAGCUGAGAGGUGGUGCAUGGCCGUCGCCAGCUCGUGCCGUGAGAUGUCCUGUUAAGUCAGGUAACGAGCGAGAUCCCUGCCUCUAGUUGCCAUCAUUACUCUCAGGAGUAGUGGGGCGAAUUAGCGGGACCGCCGCAGUUAAUGCGGAGGAAGGAAGGGGCCACGGCAGGUCAGUAUGCCCCGAAACUCUGGGGCCACACGCGGGCUGCAAUGGUAAUGACAAUAGGUUCCAAAUCCGAAAGGAGGAGGUAAUCCCUAAACAUUACCACAGUUAUGACUGAGGGCUGCAACUCGCCCUCACGAAUAUGGAAUCCCUAGUAACUGCGUGUCAUUAUCGCGCGGUGAAUACGUCCCUGCUC